rnacentral:lncRNA from 1 species
GCGUCUCUGAGACCAUCCUGUUCUUCGAGCUGGCCAGAUCUCUGGAGACAAGUGUGAAGAAACCCAGGCUUCGCCUCAACAUGUGCUGACUGGCUUCUGUCACGGUUUCAGCCUGCAACCCAACGUGAUGUGAUGACUGGCACUUCGGCAGCCAUCUUGGAUCAUGAGUCCACACGCCACAUUAGAGUCGUUUCGUCGGCCCACAGCUGGAGGAAAACAGCGAUUCUGGAGUGGGGAGAGCGAUCGCCACAAAGACCCGCUCAAAGAUCCGCAGUCUCCCGCUCCAGCCACUCACUUCCUGGAAGACCACGUGGGAGAGGGAUCUCAG